rnacentral:lncRNA from 1 species
GCCAUGGCGGCUCUAUGUUUGUAUCGCCAUUGUUACCGUUGGGACGCCGCGGAUGACCCUAUAUACCCUUGGCCGGCUACCGGGAAGACUGCGUCUCCUGACGAUCGUAACGAAGAUGUACCGUGCUUUCCUUCUGAGAGUUUAGUCGCCCUAAUAUGUGCAGCAGGCUAACCGCGUGGAAGCUUGCCUGCCAGAAAGAAAGCGCCUGUUGGGCUAUUAGGUGAGUUGGGCUAUUAGGUGAGUUGGGCUAUUAGGUGAGUUGACUCAUGCCCAGCAAUGUCCAGUUGAGAUCCAGGAGCCAGGAAGAAGGGGGGCUACUUGGCCAACAUGGCUGAUCACGUGCCUGAGGUAUGCCCUCUGACCUCACCAGGGUAACACAGAACCAUCCAUACAGGCCUUGGGCAGCUGGAAAUUUACACUGGUAGCUCUCCCAUGUCCUAAGUUAGGAACUGGAUUUGGAUUGGCUUGGGUUUGACUCUUAUUUCCAAGACUGGUGAGGUAAACACUGGAUGGAGGACCCUCUAAGGCUCAACCUCUCUAUCUAAUUGUAUAUGGCCUUAAGAGAGAUAAUUGAGUUGGGUGGUGAUAACUGGUCACUUGAGUUCAAGGCCAGCCUGGUCUACAAAGCAAGUUCCAGG